UCAUGUUUUGCUAAGUUUGUUGUAGAAUGUUCAUAUCUGUAAAUGAUUGUUUAUAAUAUUUUAGUUGUUACCUACAAGCAAACAUUUAUGAUCCGUCUGAAUCAAUGGGGCAAAGAGAGAUGAUGCCAAGAGGAUUUCAAAUCCUUUUUCUAACAGCCUUCUUAUAUAUCUUAAACAGGUGCAACUGGGCAAUGUACAUGGGUAACAGGGCAAGUCCAGACCAGAAAAUGAUGGAACUGUUCAAUAAAGCGAGUGGACUGGAGUAGAGGACUCCCAAGCAAAUUUCAUCUCUUCUGAGAUUAGACAGCCAGCAAUGUGUUUGGUUCUCCCAAUCUCUUUUUCCCAUAUUUCUGCUGUUAAAAGCAAGACAUGGAAUGUGGAGGCAGACCAUGAGGUAAGAUAGGUGUCACUCUCGUAAGUAUGCUACAUUCGCCUGCUCUUUUCUCCCAAUUUUCCUAUUUGUAUUUCCUAACCAUGGCAAAUAAUAAAUAGCUUGUCAUCGAUUUAGGCAUUUAGCGCAAGGUACAUUUGUUUGCAUUGGUAAAAUGGUCAUUUCAGAAUCCCUCACUUGAAAGUGAACUGAGGCUUUGUACAUAAGCACUCGGAGAUUAGGUAGAACAGGUAAGAGGUAAGUCAUUUGAAAUUAACUCAUCAAGAUAUCCACUAACAGAAACUCCAGAUUUUGCAUAUAGUUUAUGAUGUUAGAGAUAGAGAGAAUGCAUUGAAGAUGUCCCUGAACGUUUGUGAUGUCGAUCCAAGUGGUGGUGAUCUGCAUCCGGUCGAUGUGCUGUGGGAAGAGGAAACAAGAUGGUUAGCAGAAUCAUGCAAGGCACAAAAUGGUUGACUAAGCAUAAAGAAGAAUCAGACCAGAUUUGAUUAAUACACAAAUUCCACAUCUCUGCUUCGUAUUUAGAAGGGAAGUCUUCAUCACAAAUCUUGGUUAUGUCUGUUGUUGAUCUAAUAAAUGUGGCUACCCGCAUAUGAGUAUUUAUUUUCUUCUCUCUUUUUUUUGAAGGGAAGGAGAUGACAAACUGGUUUCGCCAAGUUGCCCUCCUUGCUGGUCGCCAAGUUGACCAGAAGCUGCACAUGAAGAAACAACGAGGUGUGAUGCUCAAACUAGAUAUCUCGCGAUUGCUUCUCUUUCCUGGCCAUUCCUUUGAGGAUCAUCGCCACAAGGGUUCUAGUACCAUAUGGCUCCGAUGGAUCAGCCUGAUGCUUUUCCUCUGCUAGCACUAAUCAUGAUCAAUGGAGUUCCUGGAGAUCGUAUAAACUAUGUGCGAGGACUGCGACAAGGAGACCCCAUCUCCCUGAUGCUCGUCGUCAUUGCCAUGGAGGCCCUCACAGCGCUUAUAUCCAAAGCUGAAAGAUCUGAUGUCCUGAGCGCUUUGCCAGGUAUAUAAACCCCCUUCAGAGACUUCAGUCCAUGCGGAUGAUGUGGUUCUGGUUCUGUUUCUGAAAACCGAGUGCGACCUGCUGUGUGUGAGGCAACUUCUGAAUAUGUUUGGGGAAGCAUCAGGUCUGCGGAUCAACUGUACAAAAUCUUCGGCCAUUGUGGCCAGAGGGGAUCACCGUGACCAUGAUGAGGAGAGGAUCGCUCCUAUCCUACAGCGUUCCAUUGGCGCUUUUCCCUGCAAGUAUUUGGGGCUUCAGUUAGCUAUUUUAUCUCUCACUGAAGCUGAAUGGCAGCCUACCCUGGAUUCCAUUAGGGCCUGUGCCCCAGCAUGGCAACGAGGCCUCAUAAACAGAGCCGGCAGACUGGUCCUUGUGGAUUCAGUCCCAUCUGCUCGACCAACUCAUCGUUUGCUGAUUUCUGAAGCUCCGAAGUCGGCAAUUCUUCAACUUGAAAGGUGGCUGUGUGCAAUCCAUCGUAUAAAUUUCGGAUGUCCAAGCCUCCAAAGCUUUUUAGGUUUGCAAUCGUUCUUCCAGGAAAUCGCGUUUGC